AGGGUGUCCGGGUUUGAUCCAUGCGAGGGUCGUGUGUCAUGGCUUGUGUGGAUAGCUUUGGAAGUACCAGGUAAAGCAGCGGGGUAAGGUACUGUAGCACCUGGUUCCUGUUUUUGAGGAGAAAGAAGAGUGAAUCAAGAAGAGGAGAAGGAGGCCAAGCAUCUCUGUGUCAUUCCAACGUUUCCCCUGAGCCGGAGGAUUUCCAGAGCAGCAACAGCAACAGUAGACAGUCAGUUCCCGAUCAGAUCGGCAGCUACUUUGAGGUACCUCCUCAGCUAGGGGAAAGGAGCCGGCGCGGUAACAUCAUGUCACACACACACACACACUCUUGUUUCCGCAGUUACGAGUUUAUUCUGGGAUUGAUACUCUGAUAUUUGAUUUAUCGAAUGUUGUGGUUUUCAAUUUGGUUUUCGAUGUGAAAUGGUUUAAUCAAACAAUGUUUUAACUA